ACAACAUGGAGGGGUGCUACCUUCCGCUGUGGACAUGUACAUCGACACACACAUGAGGGAUGAGUCUGGAGGAAAAGUGCCGAUCAAUGCCAAAGUCCUGCAAAUCAAGGAAAGUUAUGAUAAGACUCUUGCUGAAUGUCAAGAAAGAGGGGAAAACAAGACCCCGAACCAGGUUUUCUUUGAGACUGUCGGCGGUAGAAAGAAAGGGUAGGUUCCUGGUUUGGGGACGAGUGCAGACCUUUACUUUGAGAGGUGUUCGAGGGGGGGAGGUAGUUCGUCCUCCAGUUGCGCUCCUUCCAUGGUUUCUGAGUUGUCCGCGAGGUUCGAGGAAGAGAGACUCGAGUUGCAAAGAGAACGUGAGCGGAUACAGAAAGAGAGAGAGGAGGAACGACUUGCCAUACAAAGGGAACGAGAGGAGCGCCUUGCAAGGCAAAGGGAGAGAAGAGGAAUGCCUCGCCAGGCAAAUGGAGAGAGAGGAGGAGCGCAGAGUGCAUGAGGAGUACUUGGCACAGAUGAGGAAGACUAUGGAGACCUACAACCAGAUGAUGAGCCAGUGUGGUGGUUCUUUCCCCUUUACCGGGCCUCGAGACCCCCCCCACCGGCGGUGGAGAUGCGUUUGCGACGUAGGCUCCUAUUCUUCUUUACAAUAUCUAUUUUUUAUAUUUUUUGGGACGUGAGAACAUAUCAUGUAGUUAAGACUGUUAACUUAUGUUUGUGCAUGUAUGAAUUUUUAAUUAAUUCAAA